ensembl:lncRNA
AUGCAAAAAGGAAGCGAGAGAGGAGUACAGCGAGAAUUGAAGGGGGUCGCGGUGGGCAAUACCGCUUUCCAGCGGAAGGGGGCACCUUUGCGGCCGUGGGAGCGUUCCCUGGGGCGGGGCGGGACGCCUGGCGAGCCAGCCCUGCAGCUCCGGCCCUGGGGUGCUGGCGCCCCCUCCUGGCUGCUGUGCGGCCGCUCCCUGCUUCUCGCCGGUGCUCGGGUCCAGAAACUGUCCCGCCCCCGGCGCCGGGGAAGAAGGGGCAGAGGGGAGGAAGGUCAGGAGAGAGAGAGGGUUUGGUCAGGUGAUCGCUCCUCCCUUCCCUCCCCGUGCCUGCCCGCGGCUUCCUUACCUGGGGACUGCGGAGCUCCUUCCCCGCGAGCUCAGCUCCUGCGGGCCUCUUGGCGGCUGCGCUCCCACCCCAAUCCGAGCCUGCCGAGGAGUCCGCCCGCCUCACGAAAUGGCCCCGGUCUUGCCGCAGCAGCUGGGAGGGAGGGAGCGACUGCCGGCUGCUGCCGGGCGGCGUCUGGGGGCUGCAAGCCGAGCGCAAGGAGCCGCCAUCUGGAGCCUCGGCAGCGGGCGGGGGUGGGGGUGCAGGAGAAGGGGCCUGACGGCUCGGCCCCAGGCUGGCGCGGGGCAGGGCUCUGGCGUGGGAGCGGCGCCCAGUCGCCCCAAGUACUUGCGUGUGUGUCGCGGGAGGGGUGGUGUUGGUGUGUGUGUGAGGGGCACGGCCCCUGGGGAAGAGGAGCGGAGGCCUGCCCUCUUCAAGUCCCGCAGAUUACAGGGCAGCCGUUACUCGCAGGUUUAGCGAAAGAGAGGGAACCCUCUUGGCAACCCCCAGCCCCUUCCAGCCAUUCUCCUGGGAUGGAGGACUGGGCGAGGGGAGCCCAAACACUCCUACAGGCGCACACACCCGCUGUCCAUCAGAAGUGGUUUGCUCAUUUCCCUCUCCUCCCACCAUGUCCACCCCUCUCCAGGAAGCAUUCCUCCCCAAACGGCACGGAGUUUCGGACGCCUCCACGUUAA